CCUACGGGUGGCAGCAGUGAGGAAUAUUGGUCAAUGGACGAAAGUCUGAACCAGCCAAGCAGCGUGAAGGACGACUGCCCUAAGGUUUGUAAACUUCUUUUAUAAAGGAAUAAAACGAGGCACGUGUGCCUUUUUGCAUGUACUUUAUGAAUAAGGAUCGGCUAACUCCGUGCCAGCAGCCGCGGUAAUACGGAGGAUCCGAGCGUUAUCCGGAUUUAGUGGGUUUAAAGGGGGCGUAGAUGGGUUGUUAAGUCAGUUGUGAAAGUUUGAGGCUCAACCUCAAAAGUGCAAUUGAGACUGGCAGUCUUGAGUACAGGUGAGGUAGGCGGAAUGCGUGGUGGAGCGGUGAAAUGCUUAGAUAUCACGAAGAACCCCGAUUGCGAAGGCAGCUUACCAAACUGUGACUGACAUUGAUGCUCGAAAGUGUGGGUAUCAAACAGGAUUAGAUACCCGGGUAGUC
rnacentral:rRNA from 1 species